rnacentral:rRNA from 1 species
CCUACGGGUGGCUGCAGUGAGGAAUAUUGGUCAAUGGCCGCGAGGCUGAACCAGCCAAGUCGCGUGAGGGAAGACGGUUCUAUGGAUUGUAAACUUCUUUUAUCGGGGAAUAAAAGUAUCCACGUGUGGAUAUUUGCAUGUACCCUAUGAAUAAGCAUCGGCUAACUCCGUGCCAGCAGCCGCGGUAAUACGGAGGAUGCGAGCGUUAUCCGGAUUUCUUGGGUUUAAAGGGUGCGGAGGUUGUUUUUUAAGUCAGCGGUUAAAAUUUGUGGCUCAACCAUUAAAGUGCCGUUGAAACUGGAAGUCUUGAGUGUGUGUGAGGUAUGCGGAAUGCGUGGUGUAGCGGUGAAAUGCAUAGAUAUCACGCAGAACUCCGAUUGCGAAGGCAGCUUACUGAGCCAUAACUGACACUGAUGCACGAAAGUGUGGGUAUCGAACAGGAUUAGAUACCCGUGUAGUC